UGAAUUUCACUCAAAACUCACCAAAUGACUCCUCCCACCAUAUUAUGAUGUUCCACAAGUUUUGGACUCGAUCAAAUAUCCAUGGGUCCAAGAAAUUGGAUACUUCAGGUUCGUACGAAGUUCGAUCUGAAAUGGAAUGGUCGGUGCAGUCUAUAAUUCUAGAGAUUGGAUUUGUCUCAAAACCAACCAAAUGAUGCCUCC
rnacentral:lncRNA from 1 species